rnacentral:lncRNA from 1 species
ACUCCAAUCGAGAAGGGGGGAGGCGGCCACAGCGUGACGCCCGUCAGUCUCGACGUCCCUCUCCUUCCCGGUUGGAGCGAGAGAGGAGGGAGAAGCGGCCGUGGACACCGUCCGCCUCACUCUCAAAUUCAUCGGGAGGAUCGACUCCUAGAGUUUCUCAACACCGACGAUUAAACGACUACGAACACAGGUUCGAGAAAAUCGACCGUCGGCUUGCUCAACUCCAGGCGA